rnacentral:rRNA from 1 species
AUUUUUUGAGCGGGGCCCCGACACACACACCCACACCCCCCACAGCUCCGGGGCUCUGUUCAAACCGUCAGCGGUGAAGAGUUUCGCUUCUUUCUUUGUAGGUCUUUUCUUUCGCUCUCUUCGCGAGUUCACCACUGAGCAGCCGGUACCGUGUCAGCAGCCGCCGCCGCUCCUUCGGGAGCCGUCGCGGUUGGCAGCAGGACUGAGAACAGGACCGGGAGCGGAGGCGCCCGGAGGAGAAGGAGGAUCAGGUGGAAAGGGGAAGCAGCGGUAGGCGCGUGGGCGUGGGGGUGGCGGCGGAGGCGGACGCGCCACGGGUGGAGUCCGUGCCUCCGCGGUGGGGCGUGGUCUAGGGCAAGCUGGGGCAGUAGCGCCUGGAGCUCGCGGCGGAACUGCUGGCGCUCACCCUCGCGGACCGACGGCGCCCCGACGUGCGCGGCCCGUACCUCAGACGGGGGCAGGGUCUCCUGGAGCGCCUGAUGCUCCUGCUCAUGUAGUUACUGCGGCGCGCCAAGUUGUACUGCGACGCGCACCGCCGCGAGAAGGGGUUCUAGCUGCAGCUGGGGCGGCUGCUGCGGCACUGCCCGCGGCUCGACCGGCGCACCUUAGAGCGCAGGCGCGCCGCCCUCCACGACGUGGCGUGGCGGGCCCUCGAGCUGUACGUGCUGGCGCUGGUGCUGCCGGCGCAGCGGAAGAGGCUCAUGCUCUCCGGGUCGACCCGAACCGCCAAGCUGCUAUUAUUGAGUUGGUCACUACCCUACCCUACCACCUUCCUCCCCGUAAAGUUACGACGACUAUACCUACCACUGCCGAAAGAUUUAGACUGCCUCAAAUUGCUAAAGAAUGUAGGUCGACUAUGAUGGUUGGAUUUCGAUUAUGUAACCAACACGUUUCUUCUUCAGUCCCUUUCUCUGUUUCUAUUACUGCCCUUCGAGUUAAAGGUUCUCAAAAUAUUACCUAACAAAAUAAGUCAAGCUGUAAUGCUACUACUUUGAAGUUGUCUACUGAGGUUACCGAGACUACGUGGCCGAUCUUUCAGCAAAAGUGUCGAACUAGACCUAUUACUACCCGAAAACACUCGUCUGCUCGAUUUUGGAUAGUAGCCUUUUGAGGUAGGUCGUCUUUUGAAGAUACGGUUCGUUGUUCGACUGAUACACUAUAGUGUCCGACUGUGUUUGUUUCUGCCUGUUGACUCAAACUUACUCUACUAACUCUUGGGGAUACAUAAAAUGUCACGAAAUAAGUGUCUUCUACUAAUACCCAGAGUACUGCUCGAGGCCAUCAAGGAACUUCAUCUACCAUAAGUCCUGGAAACUUGCGAACCAAUCUGUAACGACGCCUAUAUAUAGAAGUUACUAGACAACCGGGGUAGAUGACGGAACGGUUCGUGUAAAGUGCCGUGUUCGCACGUAAAGGUGUGCGGACAAAAUCGUUGUCUCGUAAGUAAACAAUGUAAUUCUCAAGAACUUAAUCAAAGUACAAAACGUACCGUUCAAUCGUAACCAAGAAGGUAUAUAUCAAAAACCACACGUUUUCAUCCAACAACAAGGUCCUAGUGUGUGAACAUUUGAUACUUUUGGUCCUUCCACGUCGACAUCCCGAACAUACAUACAUACAUUGACCGUAAGGACUUGGGAUAGACAUUUGUAACACUUCAAUACAAGAUACUUUCACUAAGAUAAGAG